rnacentral:lncRNA from 1 species
UUGAGUCCCAUCUAUGCAACUAGCUUCUGCAGGUUUCUCUUGAACCUCCAUUGCAGUUGGUGUUUCUUCGGUACCAGCAGCCUCUUCUUUUUUGCCAGCCUCUGCAGUUUCUGGUACCUUAACAUCUGUACCAGCUUCCUCCAUCUUGGUGUCAGCAUGCCCAGUCUGGUCUGCCACUUCUGUUUUACCUCCAUCCUGAACCUGAGUUUCAAUGGAAGUAUCUUUUUCUCUUUCAGCUUCCGCAGUUUCCUUUUCAGUGGUUGGUGCAUCUUCCUUUUCAUUUUCUUUCUCACCUUCGGAUUUUUCGGGAACAGCCUCUGUUUCCUUGUUUUCCUUCUUUGCACUCAACGAUUUUCGGCCUCGCUUCUUUGGGGGUUCCUUUUCUGGUGUUGGAGUAGCCUUGGCCUUUUCACUGAUCCUUGCUGAUCUUCUAGGGGUCUCACCGGU